UACGUAGGGUGCGAGCGUUGUCCGGAAUUAUUGGGCGUAAAGAGCUUGUAGGCGGUUUGUCGCGUCUGCUGUGAAAAUCCGGGGCUCAACCCCGGACUUGCAGUGGGUACGGGCAGACUAGAGUGUGGUAGGGGAGACUGGAAUUCCUGGUGUAGCGGUGAAAUGCGCAGAUAUCAGGAGGAACACCGGUGGCGAAGGCGGUUCUCUGGGCAUGACCUGACGCUGAGGAGCGAAAGCGUGGGGAGCGAACAGG
rnacentral:rRNA from 1 species